rnacentral:rRNA from 1 species
UUAUCGAACUCAACGCCCUGCAUACGAAAAGACAGAAUCUCUUCCAAGAGCUUGAUGCGGUUAUCCAUCUGCUUAUGGAAGCCAAGCAUUGGGGAUUGAGAAAGAGUAGAAAUGCCACAAGCCUCAAUAGCAGGUUUAAGAGCCUCGAUACGCUCAAAGUCAAAAUAAUCAGCGUGACAUUCAGAAGGGUAAUAAGAACGAACCAUAAAAAAGCCUCCAAGAUUUGGAGGCAUGAAAACAUACAAUUGGGAGGGUGUCAAUCCUGACGGUUAUUUCCUAGACAAAUUAGAGCCAAUACCAUCAGCUUUACCGUCUUUCCAGAAAUUGUUCCAAGUAUCGGCAACAGCUUUAUCAAUACCAUGAAAAAUAUCAACCACACCAGAAGCAGCAUCAGUGACGACAUUAGAAAUAUCCUUUGCAGUAGCGCC